UGAAGGAAGAAAAGGGGUGGCCAUUUUGGGUUUUUUAAGGGAGGCUGACAAACAAACAUGCUGGAAAGCGGCUUGCUCUGACGAGGGCCAGCGCCAAUGGCUUUAAGAUAUAUCAGGUCAGUGUUUGGAGGAAUACUUGGAUUGAGGAAUUGAGGUCUAAAUCUCAAUGAACAAGGAUGUUUUCUCGGAAUGGGAUCAUUUGUGGAUUAUUUUUCCCUUUUCCUGGAGCCUUGCAGGUGGGGUCUAGAGAUCCUUAAGAAGAGAACGUGGGUGAGACUGAACCAGUUUUUUUUGUCCUCUUUUACUCCUUCCUUUUUGUGGGGAUUAUAAUAUAAUUUUUGGACUAUUUCUUUGUUGUGGACUCUGAUUGAUGGUAUUUGGAUAUCUGCACCUUGAUAAGACUCUUGGACUGAUAUGCCUUUUUGGAUUCAGAUCAAUCAUGUAGCUCUCAUUGUAGUGCUUAUUGGGCUGUAAGGUUUAACAAUGUUUCUGGAAGAAUAUAUGUUAAGUAAUACAUGCUUUGAUCAUCAAAAGUAUUAUGGUUUGCACAUCCUUUAUUGAAUUGAUUGUGAUUAAACUGUUUAUAUCAAGAUUA